rnacentral:rRNA from 1 species
UGGGGAAUCUUGGACAAUGGGGGAAACCCUGAUCCAGCGAUGCCGCGUGUGUGAAGAAGGCCUUCGGGUUGUAAAGCACUUUAGGUGGGGAAGAAAGGUAUGUGGAGAAUAUCCAUGUAGUAUGACGGUACCCACAGAAUAAGCACCGGCUAACUCUGUGCCAGCAGCCGCGGUAAUACAGAGGGUGCAAGCGUUAAUCAGAAUGACUGGGCGUAAAGGGCGUGUAGGUGGUUGACAAGGUUUGAUGUGAAAUCCCCGGGCUUAACCUGGGAAUGGCGUCGAAAACGUGUUGACUGGAGUGAGACAGAGGGUUGUGGAAUUUCCGGUGUAGCGGUGAAAUGCGUAGAUAUCGGAAAGAACAUCAGUGGCGAAGGCGACAACCUGGGUCUUAACUGACACUGAGACGCGAAGGCGUGGGGAGCAAACAGG